UACGGAGGGGGCUAGCGUUGUUCGGAAUUACUGGGCGUAAAGCGCGCGUAGGCGGACCUGCAAGUCGGGGGUGAAAGCCCGAGGCUCAACCUCGGAACUGCCUUCGAUACUGCGGGUCUCGAGUCCGGGAGAGGUGAGUGGAAUUCCUAGUGUAGAGGUGAAAUUCGUAGAUAUUAGGAAGAACACCAGUGGCGAAGGCGGCUCACUGGCCCGGUACUGACGCUGAGGCGGCGAAAAGCGUGGGGAGCAAACAGGG
rnacentral:rRNA from 1 species